CCUACGGGGGGCAGCAGUGGGGAAUAUUGGACAAUGGGCGAAAGCCUGAUCCAGCCAUGCCGCGUGUGUGAAGAAGGCCUUCGGGUUGUAAAGCACUUUCAGUGGGGAAGAAAGCCUUGGGGCUAAUACCCUCGAGGAAGGACAUCACCCACAGAAGAAGCACCGGCUAACUCCGUGCCAGCAGCCGCGGUAAUACGGAGGGUGCGAGCGUUAAUCGGAAUUACUGGGCGUAAAGCGCGCGUAGGCGGUCUGAUAAGCCGGUUGUGAAAGCCCCGGGCUCAACCUGGGAACGGCAUCCGGAACUGUCAGGCUAGAGUGCAGGAGAGGAAGGUAGAAUUCCCGGUGUAGCGGUGAAAUGCGUAGAGAUCGGGAGGAAUACCAGUGGCGAAGGCGGCCUUCUGGACUGACACUGACGCUGAGGCGCGAAAGCGUGGGUAGCAAACAGGAUUAGAUACCCUAGUAGUC
rnacentral:rRNA from 1 species